AUGGUGGUGCAGUGGGCGCCGCAAGAGGAGGUGCUCCGGCACGCAGCCGUGGCCGGGUUCUGGAUGCACGGGGGCUGGAACUCGAGGACGGAGAGCGUUUGCGAGGAGGUGCCGAUGCUGUGUCGCCCGCACUUCGGCGACCAGAUGGGGAACGCCAGGUACGUGGAGCACGUGUGGAGGGUGGGCUUCGAGGUCGCUGGCGCGCUCGAGAGCUGGCGGCGUGGAGGCCGCCAUCCGGCGGCUCGUCACAGGUACCGAGGGAGCGGAGAUGCGGGCCAGGGCCAGGGACCUGGUGGAGACGGCCUGGGGCAUCGGAGAAUACACGUGAGCUUCGGGCCUUCGGCAGCCUGGCAUGCAUGUUGA
rnacentral:rRNA from 1 species